UACGUAGGGUGCGAGCGUUAAUCGGAAUUACUGGGCGUAAAGCGUGCGCAGGCGGUUAUAUAAGACAGAUGUGAAAUCCCCGGGCUCAACCUGGGAACUGCAUUAGUGACUGUAUAGCUAGAGUACGGCAGAGGGGGGUAGAAUUCCACGUGUAGCAGUGAAAUGCGUAGAGAUGUGGAGGAAUACCGAUGGCGAAGGCAGCCCCCUGGGUUAGUACUGACGCUCAUGCACGAAAGCGUGGGGAGCAAACAGGAUUAGAAACCCUUGUAGU
rnacentral:rRNA from 1 species